AAUCACAAAAAUUUUAAAUUUACUUUCUUUAUUUACUAAGGUAGCCCUAAUUUCCCAUAAAUGCUUCACUGGGCCACCAAGGCCUCAAGUAGAUGAACUUCAUCACUUAUUUUUCUAAUCGGGUUAGUUCAAGUGGGUUAAAUGAGUCCUAUUAAAUAUGUAUACCUCCAUAGGACGCUCUUUGUGCUUUGGUCACUGGCUUUAAAUCGCAACCCAUGACAGGACUUAGUUGAAUAUCUAGUCAAAUUGUUAAAGUGGCAUAGCUUGUAAACAUUUUAAAUUUUCUAUUUAAUUUUACUUAAUUAGUAGAUCAACAUGUAAAAAUUCGACCCAAGAAACCCAUUUAGACCUUUGGACGAAUUUCCCAUUCAAUUUCACGCUAAAGAUUUAAUUUCACAUUUUAGUUAUUUGAUAAGGUGUCGACUGAAUUGUCAUGAUUAGUUGGCACACUUCAAAUCCUAUUAAAAUUAGGAGACUAACUAGGGAAGCUAUAAAUAGAGUGCGCCCCCUUCCCCUUUUAUUAAUUUAUUGAUUAUUUUUUUGAGCUAAUAAAAUUCUCUUUAAGUUUUUUUUAAAAAAACUUUUCCUGAGAUUUCUUUUAAAAGAGUUUAACAAUAUUUUUAGAUUUGGGGAAUCAUUUUUAAGUUUUUUCUUGUCAAUGAUUUUUUCUUGGAGGGAAAAUUAGAGUAAUUUGAAAAGGAUUGUAGAUUCAUCUUGUUUUCAAGGUUCUUAAGGACUUCUACAUGCCACUCUUAUUUUUUCCAUCUCUUUUUUUUUUCCUUUUUUUUCCUAUUUUGUUCUUAUUAUUUUGAAUCUAAUCUUUGAAUUUACUUGAUUUCAGAUCUUUUUUUAAUUAAGUGGGGUGUUCUCAUAUCUCACCUCAUUAAGAAACAUCCCAAAAUUAGAAAUUCUUUGCUUUUCUUGCUGUUUGAAUUCUUGUCACAAAACAAUUUGCUUUUGGCUUAAUUCUUCAUUAUACUAAACUGUUUUUGUUAUUUUGUUCCAUAUCUGAUUGAAGGCUUCUUUAAAGUUCAAGAAUGAUUCUUUCUCUUCUAAGAAACCUUAUUCUACUCAUUCUUAGAUUCCCUUUUCCCACCCCUACAUUUCUUUGUUGUUGGGUUUCUUUUUCGUUUGUUUUCAUUUAAUUUUUAAUAUGUUUUGUUUCUUUUGUUUAGAUCUCAAUUCGACAUCUUCAUCAAAGACAACCUAAAUCACUUCAAACAUUGGGUUCUUCAUUCUUCUUGGCUAGUUGAACUUUGUUUUGAUCUGGUUUUUUUAUUUCAUUCGAUUUUAGUCUUUAAUCUGCAAAUCUGUUCUAACCGUUUAUUUUCAGUUAAUUGACAGCCUUAUUUUGUUUGGAAUGCAUCAAGAACAAGCGCUUUCUUGAUCGACUUGGAUUCUUUCAAGAACCUUAAUUCCUAAUUCGAUCUUCUUGUUCUUUUAGUACUUGAUUUUCUGCCCUUUCAAUUUUAACUUCGAUUGUUUAUGCUUCAUUUUAAGUCAAACUCCAAAUUUCCUUAUUCAUCUAGAGCCUUAGGUCAAAUUUGCGAUCUUAUUCCGCAUUCGUCCCUACCACCCACUAACCAUACAAUUUACAACUAUACACGGAUUCUUUCCCAAACAAUUUCAAUUCUUUCUACACUCUCCCUCAGGUUGAUUUACACUCUCCCUCAGGUUGAUUUAAAAAUAUUUCAUAGUCAGCUUGGUUUUUAUAAAGUCGAAUUGUUUUCUCGGUAGUCUUUUUGUGAGCAAAUCAGCUACUUGAUCUUCAGUAGGAACCUAAGUCAUGCACACUAAACCACCUAUUUUUUCUUUAUUAAAAUGCUUGUCCACUUCAACAUGCUUCGUACGAUCAUGAAGAACUAGAUUGUUAGCUAUAGAAAUAGUAGCCUUAUUAUCGCAAUAGAACUUGUUAGGUACGAGCUCUGAAGCUCUCAACUCCUGUAGUAUUCUCCUAGUCCACAUUACUUCACAGAUACCAUGAGCACCGCCCUAAACUCAACUUCUACACUACUCGCAACUACACUUUGCUUUUUACUACGCCAAAUUACUAAGUUACCGCCAACAUAUGUACAAUAUCCCGAGGUCGAUCUCUUAUCAAUUAUACUCCCAACCCAAUUUGCAUUAUAUAGGCUUCAAUUUGAAGAUGUCCUCGAGAUUUAAAGAACAACCCUUUGCCUGGUGUCUCUUUUAAAUACCAUAGAAUCCUAUAGACAACCUUAAAAUGUUCAGGACCAAAUGAGUGCAUGGCAGUUUCUGCCAAUUUGGAACCCGUAAUGUUUGUUCAUCAAGUAAAUCAAAUACAUACGUUGAUUUACAAUAAUUCCCCCAUUAGACCUCACAAACUCCAUUCCAAGGAAGUAUUUUAGAACUCCUAGGUUUUUUAUUUCAAAUUCCCUUGGCUAAUCUCCUUUUCAAUAUAUCCAUCGCAUCAUAAUCUCCUAUUAAGAUAAUAUCAUCAACAUAUACUAUUAAUAUAGCAACCUUACCUUCUCCUGAAUGCUUGUAAAACAUGGUGUGAUCCGCUUGACUUCGUAUAAACCUAUACUUCUUUACUACCUUGCUAAAACGUUCAAACCAUGCUCUAGGUGACUGCUUGAAUCCAUACGUCCUUUUUUAGUUUGCAAACUUUUCUAGCCCCAAGUUCUUCUUCAAAGCCCAAUGGUAGGCUUAUAAAUACCUAUUCUAGAUCUCCAUUGAGAAAAGCAUUUUUC
rnacentral:lncRNA from 1 species